AAUCAACGCUGGCGGCGUGCCUCAGACAUGCAAGUCGAACGCGAAAGUUCCCUUCGGGGGGCAAGUAGAGUGGCGCACGGGUGAGUAACACGUAGGUAAUCUAACCUUUGGAUGGGGAAUAACAACCGGAAACGGUUGCUAAUACCGCAUAAUGCAGCGGCACCUAAUGGUGACAGUUGUUAAAGCGGGGGAUCGAAAGACCUCGCGUCUGAAGAGGAGCCUGCGGCGGAUUAGCUAGUGGUAAGGUAACGGCUUACCAAGCUACGAUCCGUAGCCGCCUGAGAGGGCGGU
rnacentral:rRNA from 1 species